UCCAGGGGGGAGGGAGGCAUCGCGGGCUCCCUGCGGUGCUGUUGUUCGUGUGGGCUUCGUGCCGGGGCGUCCCCGUGGGCAUUAAGCUGGGAACGUCCUCCCCAGCCCCGAAAAGGUCAGGGCUGGAGCUGCGUCCAGCUGGAGUGCCCAGGAAUGAGGUGUUCCCUGACCAGCAGCGCUCGCUGUUGGUAAACGGCUCCUUUCCGAGAGAUUCAUCGGUCGCAGCGAGACGUGGAAACUCUGACUGCUCCCUGCGCUCAGCGUUUAACUUUGGAAAUGUUUGGUCGCGCUUGUGCUGGAGUGCCUGACGCGAGGAUCUAAAAGAGAAGAAGGAAGUUGUUGAAGAAACAGAAAAUGGCAGAGAUGCACCGGCCAACGGCAAUGCUAACGAGGAAAACGGGGAGCAGGAGGCCGACAACGAAGUAGACGAAGAGGAAGAGGAAGGUGGCGAGGAAGAGGACGAGGAGGAAGAGGGUGAUGGUGAGGAGGAGGACGGCGACGAAGACGACGAAGCUGAGGGAGCCACAGGCAAACGGGCAGCUGAGGACGACGAGGUAGGCAGAGCACCCCUUGUGUCCCGAGUGGGUUUUGGGGUGGAAUCAGUGGGGUCGGAGGCACCAGGCUGGGCUUUGGGACCCGGAUCCUGCCCGUGUGGUUCCCGCUGUGUGUGCCCCUGGGGGAUUCGGCCCAGUUCUUCAUGUACUGGCCUGGCUGUGAUCACCCUGGGUUUGGGAUCCCAGUGCUGUGGUGGGAUGGGACAGGGGUGCUCCGGCCCCAAAACCAGCUGCCAGAGGCUUCAUGCUGUGGGGAACACUUCUGCUGCAGGGACAAAGCAGAACAAGAGCAGAGGGACCCAAAAUCUCCUUUAUUUCUGCCCCUUUAUUCUGUUGUCCCCUCCCCUAACGGCUUUACCUUUCCCCUCAGGACGACGACGUCGAUCCCAAGAAGCAGAAAACCGACGAAGAUGACUAGGCAGCAAAUUAUUAUUAUUUUUUUUUUUAAAUAAGGAGGAAAACAAACCAACAAAAAAGGCCAGCGCGUCCUC
rnacentral:lncRNA from 1 species